GCUGGGGCCAGAAGUUUGGUAACCUCCGAUUUUCCUGUAAAGAUCACUGAAAAAGAGGUAGGGAACAAACCAAGAAGGACUUCGUGCGAAGGAGUGUGCUUAAUGUUUUUGUCGGUGAUGCUGAAUUGCUUUGCUCCCAGCUGGCCCUUAAUAACUGAUGCAAGCCACCUUAGGAGAAAGGAGUUAUAGGGUUCCAGCCAUCACAACAUCAUUUCAGGCCUAUGUCAACAGUUUGUUUACACCUGCUUUAAGGACAACCAACUUGUUUUACAGGGAUAAAUCAAAAGGAUUGACCUAAAUGGAAAAAAAAUGUUAUACAAAAGCUUGUUUGGUCAGGUGCUCUGGUCUCACAUCAAUCAGUAAUGCAUGCAGAAUGAAGAGGAACUGUAUUUAUUUUGCAAACUGGUCAACGUUAGCCAGCAUCUGCAGUUCUUCCAUAGAUUGGACUUCAACCUUUGACUUGGCUGUUUUUACUGAGUUGGCAGUAAGCUGACCAAAUGCAUGGUGUCUCUGUAUACAGGAAGAGGAGAAACUAUGUGCAGAACAUUAUCUGUGUUUUCAUUCUCCCCUCUAUUCCUUAUCCAUUCCUAAUAAGCCUGCAUAGGCCCCAGAUGUUCCUUCUAUGGCAGUGUUUCUUAACUUCAGUGAUUGGGAAUUCUGGGAGUUGAAGCCGCGACAUCUUAAAGUCACCAAGGUUCUAAUUAUUGCAAUUAUUCUAUUGCAAAUUAUAAAUGGCUAACUGCAAAUUAUAAAUGGCUAGCUUUCUUCCAGAGGAUGUACCAGUCAGGUUUAUGAAGCGCCUCACCACUGCUUACUGAAGUGAAAUACAGUUUAAUAUUUUUCUUAUACAAACUGUCAUUAUUCCCCAAAUGCAAUUUAUAUACAGAAGUAAGGAUAGCAAUGAUGGCAGUCAUGAAAAAUAUCUGUCAAUCCAAGAUAUAUACAUAAAUAACCUUUGGACUCUAAAGUGUUUAAGUAAGAAUAGGGAUGUUCACAGCAGGAGAGCCAAAGUCAAUAAAGAAAAGUGGUGGAGCUUCAUAGCCAUCUGUACUUUUUUCAAUCAUCUCUAUGUAAGAAAGAGAAUAAUGUUUUUCUUUCCCAUGAAAAAAUAAAGUGUCUUUACUUGUAGCUGCAUGUUGAGUACUGUACUGCAAAAGAGGGGUUUUUUUCUCUUCAAUAUGACCCUGGCUGAUUCCGAAAAGGCUUUGGAAGAAUGGUUCUGAUAUACUAGGGAUCAAAUAGACAGAAUUUUUUUAUUUUAUUUUAUUUUUUAUUUGCACUAUCUAUUAAACCAUCAAGUUAAAUUUAUUUCUCUAAAAGUAGUAAAAUUUUGUUACAUUAUGGUGUAAGCUUUGCCGGUAAAUGGUUGCCAAUACUACUUGUUAGGAGAUAGUUUUGUGUUGUUCAUUUUAUUGAAUGUACUUCUCUUGCUCAAUGAUUGAAAUAAAGUUUCUGUCUGUCUGUAUUAGGGAUCACCAGGGAAUUCUAAGACUGAGCUAGACUGGGAAGUUAUAAAAAGACAGAUGUUUUAAAUCAGUGGUUCUCAACCUUUUUAAUGCCGUGACUCCCAACCGGUCGUAAGUCGAGGACUACUCAAUUGGUGCAGCACCGUUUGCAGAAUGGGACUUUUA